UACGUAGGGGGCAAGCGUUGUCCGGAAUUAUUGGGCGUAAAGAGCGUGUAGGCGGUCCGGUAAGUCGGCUGUGAAAGUCCAGGGCUCAACCCUGGGAUGCCGGUCGAUACUGCCGGACUAGAGUUCGGGAGAGGGAUGUAGAAUUCCAGGUGUAGCGGUGAAAUGCGUAGAUAUCUGGAGGAAUACCGGUGGCGAAGGCGGCAUCCUGGACCGAAACUGACGCUUAAGCGCGAAAGCUAGGGGAGCAAACGGG
rnacentral:rRNA from 1 species